ensembl:lncRNA
UACAGUAUAUGGCUACCUUUAUUUACAUGUAUCAAGUGUAUGUUGGUUGGUGACUGUUCUUUGAAAAGUUUAAGGCAAAGACUACAGAUAGAUAUGGUGUGUAUAAAAGUUGUGCCGUUGUCACCAAUAAAGACGACCCUGACUAACACUGGCACGCUCUGCUGGUCACAUCGAAAGUACACCGUAAAAAUUAAACAAAUGUCCUUCUCUCUCUACAUUUGACAUUAACCAUGAACACACAAAAGAGACCAUCUGUAACCAGAUGGCUGUAGGGUUCAAAUCAAAUGUCAUGUCACAUGCUUUUGUAAACAAUACGUGUAGACCGACAGUGAAAUGCUUACUUAAAUCUACCCCUGUUAGUUAUGAAGCAUGUGACAUUAUGUUCAAGUUAAACUUUUGUAUAAAUACUAAAUAUUUCAGUGUAAUUAUACAGUAGGCUGAUUGAUGGUGACAAGUGACAAUUAGCGUUUUCAAAGUUCUAUAUCUUGAAAACUGGAUUGCUGCACUGCAAAACAUUUUUUGGGGGGCUGUAUCAACAGUGGACGAAUGAAACAAAUAUACACAAAAAUAUCAUUUUGGGAGUGGAAUUGACCUUCAAGUCAAAGUUGCUGAAUUAAAAAGGUGAUCAUCCCUGUAAAAUGUCUAUUCCCGACGCGCUUCAUAUCGUCAGCUCACUCUCAAUAUCACGUUAGAGGAUGAGGCAUCUCUAUCAUGUACAGUAUGCGUUCUCUAUGCCCAUUGGACAGACUGAAAAGCGGACCUGAGACCUCCCUCAGUGUUCCGACGCAGCAUUAAGAACAGACAGAAUAUACAUCUAGAUGCUGAUCCACACAUUAUACCGGUCUGUCAGCUGGACAAUGGCUUCACCAUGAGCAGGUCUGAUCACCUUUCAGUUUAGAGACAAGGGCAGCAGGUCUGAUCACCUUUCAGUUUAGAGACAAGGGCAGCAGGUCUGAUCACCUUUCAGUUUAGAGACAAGGGCAGCAGGUCUGACCACCUUUCAGUUUAGAGACAAGGGCAGCAGGUCUGACCACCUUUCAGUUUAGAGACAAGGGCAGCAGGUCAGAUCACCUUUCAGUUUAGAGACAAGGGCAGCAGGUCAGACCACCUUUCAGUUUAGAGACAAGGGCAGCAGGUCUGAUCACCUUUCAGUUUAGAGACAAGGGCAGCAGGUCUGAUCACCUUUCAGUUUAGAGACAAGGGCAGCAGGUCUGAUCACCUUUCAGUUUAGAGACCAGGGCAGCAGGUCAGAUCACCUUUCAGUUUAGAGACAAGGGCAGCAGGUCUGAUCACCUUUCAGUUUAGAGACCAGGGCAGCAGGUCUGAUCAUAUAAAUAGAACACGGUCGACUUGAAAUGUCUGUUCUAGAUAUUUUAUUUGAAUUAGUGUGAUUCUGUUUUACUGUACCGCUCUGCCUUACCAGCAGUCUUCUACCUAUAGCGGACAUUCUGCUGGUUAAAUGAACAGCUGAACGAAAACAGAUAAACACUUGAGAUACAGAGAGAGAGAGAGAGACAGAGAGAGAGAGAGACAGAGAGAGAGAGAGAGACAGAGAGAGAGAGAGAGAGAGAGAGAGAAAAGAUACAGGUUUCACCUUAGUGCACAGGAGCAGUAACAAUGUCACCAACCAACACCAUAAAAAUGGAAUAUCUUUAAACUAACAAACUCUUUGUCCUUGAGACUUCAGUAUAUUCAAAAUGAAACUACCAAAAGAUCUGAACAACAAAAAAUCAUUCAAAUGACUACAUACUAAUACAGUAUAGUGUUUUAAAUUACUCUGUACAUCUUGGAACGGUCCCCAAAAAAGCUACUUAUUUCCUAUACAGUGCACUACAUUCAUCAGGGCCCAUACGACUCUACUUUUGCUCAAAGGUAGUGCACUAUAUAGGGAAUAGGUUGUUAUUUGGGACGUAAGCACUAAGUCACGUGACUGGGCGGAAGGGAGAUACUGUACAAGAAAAACAUUACUUCAAAUGAAUACACACUUUUUUUUUUUUUUUUUUUUUUUUUUUUAACACAGAACCCCCUACACACACACACGAGUAGAGUACAGUGUUUGGAGGACGACAACAAUCUCCCAGUUCACAAUCAGACCCUUUCUCAUUUUCAUAUAGAGAACAAAUGAGACCACCAUGUGUGGGAGGUUAUGUGGGGGCAGGGCAUAUCAGGGAAGCACCUCCCACCCCCGCAUCCCUGAUAAGCCCGCCCCCGCAUCCCUGAUAAGCCCGCCC